GCAUAUCAAUAAGCGGAGGAAAAGAAAAUAACAAUGAUUCCCUUAGUAACGGCGAGUGAAGGGGGAAAAGCUCAAAUUUUAAAUCGGCAUGGUUCUACCUAGUCGAGUUGUAAUUUGAAGAAGCGUUUUCCGCGUCCAGGUUGGCCCAAAUCCUUUGGGAUAAGGUAUCAUGGAGGGUGAGAAUCCCGUCCGGUUGACCCUACAGGACGCUUUACGAUACGCUCUCAAAGAGUCGAGUUGUUUGGGAUUGCAGCUCAAAAUGGGAGGUAAAUUUCUCCUAAGGCUAAAUACCGGCGAGAGACCGAUAGCGAACAAGUACCGUGAGGGAAAGAUGAAAAGAAUUUUGAAAAGAAAGUUAAACAGUACGUGAAAUUGUUGAAAGGGAAACGAUUGAAGCCAGUCGUACCGACGGGAAAUCAACUUCUCGAGUGCCUAUCGUGGGUGACGUUGAGCCUCACGGCCUUCGUUGCUUGUGUUGUUGGUGCUUUUAGGGUGUACUUUUCCGUAUGGUAGGUCAGCAUCGAUUUCGUUCGUCAUAAAAUGAUCGGGGGAAUGUAGCUUCGGUCUCGUAUCGGAGUGUUAUAGACCUUGGUAGAUGUGACGAUUGGGAUCGAGGAUUGCAACGAAUACCCUUUUGGGCUAUCCGUCUGGCCUCUGAAAGUCGCUCGGGUGUCGAAAGCGUGCUUACGGCUAUCUGAGUUGGCGGUCAACAGGUUAGAACGUGAUUACAUUCGUUAAGGAUGUUGACGUA
rnacentral:rRNA from 1 species